rnacentral:rRNA from 1 species
ACAGUUUCCGCAGCUGUAGAUGGAUGCUUUGGUAGUAUAGCCUAAGGUUAUUGUUUCGGACAGAAACUACCUAGAUAAAGAUGCUCUACACGCCAAAUUUUUUAAAAA